rnacentral:rRNA from 1 species
UGAGGAAUCUUGCGCAAUGGGGGAAACCCUGACGCAGCAACGCCGCGUGAGUGAGGAAGGUUUUUGAAUCGUAAAGCUCUGUCAGGUGGAAAGAAAUGUAUGAAAGUUAAUAGCUUCCAUGCUUGACGGUACCACCAGAGGAAGCACCGGCUAACUCCGUGCCAGCAGCCGCGGUAAUACGGGGGGUGCAAGCGUUGUUCGGAAUCAUUGGGCGUAAGGAGCGUGUAGGCGGCUUGAUAAGUCAGAUGUGAAAGCCCUGGGCUUGACCCGGGAAGUGCAUUUGAAACUGUCCGGCUCGAGUAGGGGAGAGGGAAGUGGAAUUCCUGGUGUAGAGGUGAAAUUCGUAGAUAUCAGGAGGAACACCGGUGGCGAAGGCGACUUCCUGGCCCUAUACUGACGCUGAGACGCGAGAGCGUGGGUAGCAAACAG